UGCAGAAAUGUCCUCAAGAGGGUGGGCUA
rnacentral:piRNA from 1 species